rnacentral:rRNA from 1 species
AAACCGGGUGAUCUAGCCAUGGGCAGGUUGAAGGUUGAGUAACAUCAACUGGAGGACCGAACCCACUAACGUUGCAAAGUUAGGGGAUGACCUGUGGCUGGGGGUGAAAGGCCAAUCAAACUCGGAGAUAGCUGGUUCUCCCCGAAAGCUAUUUAGGUAGCGCCUCGGACGAAUACUACUGGGGGUAGAGCACUGUUUGGGCUAGGGGGUCAUCCCGACUUACCAACCCCAUGCAAACUCCGAAUACCAGUAAGUAAUAUCCGGGAGACACACGGCGGGUGCUAACGUCCGUCGUGAAGAGGGAAACAACCCAGACCGCCGGCUAAGGUCCCAAAGUUCUGGUUAAGUGGGAAACGAUGUGGGAAGGCUCAGACAGCUAGGAUGUUGGCUUAGAAGCAGCCAUCAUUUAAAGAAAGCGUAAUAGCUCACUAGUCGAGUCGGCCUGCGCGGAAGAUGUAACGGGGCUCAAACCAGGCACCGAAGCCGCGGAUUCACGCUAAGCGUGAGUGGUAGGGGAGCGU